rnacentral:lncRNA from 1 species
CGACUAAUAACACAAAUAGAGAAUAACAUAUCUGGCUUGAGGAAUGGCAAGCUAUCAAGAAAGGGAGAGAGAUAGAGAUCAUUCUCUGUAAAAAAAUUCCAAGCUCCAGCUCACAAAUAUUAAUCUACCAAUUAAAAUUAAAUUUUGAAAAACAAAUGUUGAUAAUAAUAACAAACAUUUAAAAGACAGCUGAAGAAGAAUGGUAGAUGAAACUAACUCAAAUAUCAUCAUAUU